UGGUUCGGACAAUCGCGGGGCAUUUCGAUGCUUUGAGGAAAGUCCAUGCUCGCACAGCCUGCGAUGGCUGUAGUGAUCGUGCUACACAAAAAGAUAAGUGUAGGCAGCGUCAAGCUGACGGCAGAAGGAACGCCUAAGUCUUCGGAUAUGGCCGAAACUUCUUGAAGGUGCCACAGUGACGGAGCUUCAUGGGAAACCAUGAAGGUGGAACGAGGUAAACCCCACGAGCGAGAAACCCAAAUU
rnacentral:RNase_P_RNA from 1 species